rnacentral:rRNA from 1 species
UACGUAGGCAGCGAGCGUUGUUCGGAGUUACUGGGCGUAAAGGGUGUGUAGGCGGUUGUUUAAGUUUGGUGUGAAAUCUCCCGGCUCAACUGGGGAGGGUGCGCCGAAUACUGAAUGACUCGAGUGCGGGAGAGGAAAGUGGAAUUCCUGGUGUAGCGGUGAAAUGCGUAGAUAUCAGGAGGAACACCGGUGGUGUAGACGGCUUUCUGGACCGUAACUGACGCUGAGACACGAAAGCGUGGGUAGCAAACAGG